AUUGAACGCUGGCGGCAGGCCUAACACAUGCAAGUCGAACGAGUGGCGGACGGGUGAGUAAUGUCUGGGAAACUGCCUGAUGGAGGGGGAUAACUACUGGAAACGGUAGCUAAUACCGCAUACCCUCCGCUGUACCCAUAUGGGCUUAGCUAGUAGGUGGGGUAAAGGCUCACCUAGGCGACGAUCAAUAGCUGGCCUGAGCGGAUGACCAGCCACACUGUGACUGAGACACGGUCCAGACGCCUACGGUAGGAAGCAGGGGGGAAUAUUGCACAAUGGGCGCAAGCCUGAUGCAGCCAUGCCGCGUGUAUGAAGAAGGCCUUCGGGUUGUAAAGUACUUGCAGCGGGGAGGCGUUACCCACAGAAGAAGCACCGGCUAACUCCGUGCUAGCAGCCGCGGUAAUUC
rnacentral:rRNA from 1 species